UAGUCGGGACCUAAGGCGAGGCCGAAAGGCGUAGUCGAUGGACAUCAGGUUAAUAUUCCUGGACUAAAGUACAAUAUGGGACGCAUGAUGAAGGAUGGCACACAUUAUGAGAUGUGAUUCUAGGCUUACGCCGAAAUACGCCAUUUGAAUUUGUGCCGAGAAAACCGUACUUGCCCGUACCAAAACCGACACAGGUAGGUGAGUCGAAUAGACUAAGGAGCGCGAGAGAAAUCUCUCCAAGGAACUCGGCAAAUUAGCCCCGUAACUUCGGGAGAAGGGGUGCCCACUUCGGUGGGCCACAGUAAAUUGGGACUGGCGACUGUUUACCAAAAACACAGCUCUCUGCUAAGUCGUGAAGACGACGUAUAGGGAGUGACACGUGACCAAUGCGGAAAGAUUAAGGUGACUUGUUAGCACUUGAUGCGAAGCUCGGAGCCCAAGUCCCCGUGAAUGUCGGCCGUAACUAUAACGGUCCUAAGGUAGCGAAAUUCCUUGUCGGGUAAGUUCCGACCUGCACGAAUCGUGCAACGACCGGUCCGCUGUCUCGGAGAGAAUCUCGGCGAAGUUGUAAUUGCGGUGAAGAUGCCGCAUACCCGCAGUAGGACGGAAAGACCCUGUGCACCUUUACUGUAAGCAAGUAUUGUGUUCUGGUUAGUGAUACGUAGAGUAGGUGGGAGACUUUGAAGUGAUGGCUUAGGUUGUCAUGGAGUCGCAAUGUGAAACACCACUUUUUAUUAAUUAGGAUUCUAACAAUGAUUCCUCUGAAGCGAGGCAUUGGACAGUGCUUGCGGGUCAGUUUGACUGGGGCGGUUUCCUCCCAAAGAGUAACGGAGGAGCACUAAGGUACCUUCAGCAUGGUUAGCAACCAUGCGUCGAGCGUAUGCGUAGAAGGGUGCUUGACUGCGAGACCUACAAGUCGAGCAGGUACGAAAGUAGGUGCAAAUGAUCCGGUGGUAGAACGUGGAAUUGCCAUCGCUCAACGGACAAAAGGUACGCCAGGGAUAACAGGCUGAUCGCGCCCAAGAGUUCA
rnacentral:rRNA from 1 species